AAUUAUAAUAAUUAAAUAGUUUAAAUUAUUAGCUUUCAAGUAUUAUAAUACUUAUAAUAUUUAGGUAAAAAAUACUUUUUUAGGUAUUAAAAAAAGUAAGUAAUAUUAUAAGUUUAAGAGUAUUAAUUAAAAGGUAUUAUAGCUUUAAUUAUAAUAAAUAUAUAAAGCUAAUUAAAUAAUUUAAAUUAAUAUAAAUA
rnacentral:tRNA from 1 species